CGGUAGCCGCGGGAAUACGAAGGGUGCAAGCGUUACUCGGAAUUACUGGGCGUAAAGCGUGCGUAGGUGGUGGUUUAAGUCCGUUGUGAAAGCCCUGGGCUCAACCUGGGAAUUGCAGUGGAUACUGGGUCACUAGAGUGUGGUAGAGGAUAGUGGAAUUUCCGGUGUAGCAGUGAAAUGCGUAGAGAUCGGAAGGAACAUCUGUGGCGAAGGCGACUAUCUGGGCCAACACUGACACUGAGGCACGAAAGCGUGGGGAGCAAACAGGAUUAGAUACCCCAGUAGUCCCUGUCUCUUAUAC
rnacentral:rRNA from 1 species